rnacentral:lncRNA from 1 species
ACAAGAGCAACAACUUGGAAGGAUAUCUCUACCAGUCGGUAAAAUUACGAUAAUAAUAAUUAUUAAUGUUUACUAAUUUGCAAUCCAGCAAAUGGAUAAUGAUUGAUAAAACGGCAGAGAAAAUGCGGCAAUUAAAGAAUCCAAUUCCGCAUUACCAAUCCAAUGGGUUCAAAGCGUCAACCACCCAGGUGAGGAAUGAGACGCCACACUACACUACAAUAGUUGAAGAUGAAGGCUGAUGAUGUCUGUCUCUGUCGGGCUUGAAUGGCGUGAAGAUGAAGGUGAAACUGAGGAAGUAGGAAGCUGAGGAGGAAAUCACAAUAAGUCGGAGGUGUGGAUGAAGGAAGGUGAGACAGUGAGUCAGGCGGUGGAGACGGAGGAAGGAAGGGGAGAGAUGAUGAGGAAGAGGCGGCGGAAGAGUAUAAUUAGG